UACGGAGGAUGCGAGCGUUAUCCGGAUUUACUGGGUGUAAAGGGAGCGUAGGCGGCUGUGUAAGCCAGAAGUGAAAGCCCGGGGCUCAACUCCGGGACUGCUUUUGGAACUACAUGGCUUGAUUGCAGGAGAGGCAAGUGGAAUUCCUAGUGUAGCGGUGAAAUGCGUAGAUAUCAGGAGGAACACCGGCGGCGAAGGCGGCCUGCUGGACCGCGACUGACGUUGAGGCUCGAAAGCGUGGGGAGCGAACAGG
rnacentral:rRNA from 1 species